GAGGACGGCAGCCCCAGGAGCCCAUAAUGUGGGAAACAGGAGCACGGGGACCAACAGGAGCUGAGCUGGGGGUCAGGAGGCCAGAAUACUCCCACCUAACUUGCCAGACACUGAUUCAGCCACCUACUGAGUGCCAGCCAGGCAUGUGUUGUUAGGUACUGAAAUACAAUGAGCGAGGCAGAUGGAGAGAACCACACCCUUCUCUCACAGAGUACGCAACUCAUCUCGAUGAGGACUUGUCCCAGUGGAACUA